AGCAGCCGCGGUAAUUCCAGCUCCAAUAGCGUAUAUUAAAGUUGUUGCAGUUAAAAAGCUCGUAGUUGAAUUUCGGGAUUGACGUGAUGGUCGUGCCUUACGGGGUAUGAACUGUUGCAGUCAAUUUCUCACCUUCUGGAGAAAUAUGAUGUCCUUAAUUGGGUGUCAUAUGGAACCAGAACUUUUACCUUGAAAAAAAUUAGAGUGUUUAAAGCAGGCUUAUUGCUCGAAUACAUUAGCAUGGAAUAAUAAAAUAGGACGGCAUGGUUCUAUUUUGUUGGUUUCUAGGAUCACCGUAAUGAUUAAUAGGGAUAGUUGGGGGCAUUAGUAUUCAAUUGUCAGAGGUGAAAUUCUUGGAUUUAUUGAAGACUAACUACUGCGAAAGCAUUUGCCAAGGAUGUUUUCAUUAAUCAAGAACGAAAGUUAGGGGAUCGAAGACGAUCAGAUACCGUCGUAGUCUUAACCAUAAACUAUGCCGACUAGGAAUCAGACGAUGUUAAUUUUUUAAUGACUCGUUUGG
rnacentral:misc_RNA from 1 species